AGAGUUUGAUCCUGGCUCAGGACGAACGCUGGCGGCGUGCCUAACACAUGCAAGUCGAGCGAUGAGACCCUUCGGGGCGGAUUAGCGGCGGACGGGUGAGUAACACGUGGGUAACCUACCUCAAAGAGGGGGAUAGCCUCCCGAAAGGGAGAUUAAUACCGCAUAACAUUAGUUUUUCGCAUGAAGAACUAAUUAAAGGAGUAAUCCGCUUUGAGAUGGACCCGCGGCGCAUUAGCUAGUUGGUGAGGUAAUAGCUCACCAAGGCGACGAUGCGUAGCCGACCUGAGAGGGUGAUCGGCCACAUUGGAACUGAGACACGGCCCAGACUCCUACGGGAGGCAGCAGUGGGGAAUCUUCCGCAAUGGGCGCAAGCCUGACGGAGCAACGCCGCGUGAGUGAAGAAGGUUUU
rnacentral:rRNA from 1 species